rnacentral:rRNA from 1 species
CAAUAGCGUAUAUUUAAGUUGUUGCAGUUAAAAAGCUCGUAGUUGGAUUUCGGGUGGGACGCAGCGGUCUCGCAUUGCGUUUGUACUGCUGCAGCCCUCCUUCUUGCCGGGGGCGGCCUCUCGGACUUCACUGUCUGGGGGUCAGAAUCGGCGAUGUUACUUUGAGUAAAUUAGAGUGUUCAAAGCAAGCUUACGCUCUGAAUAUAAUAGCAUGGGAUAACACGACAGGACUCUGGCCUAUCGUGUUGGUCUAUAGGACCAGAGUAAUGAUUAAGAGGGACAGUCGGGGGCAUUCGUAUUCCGUUGUCAGAGGUGAAAUUCUUGGAUUUACGGAAGACGAACAUCUGCGAAAGUAUUUGCCAAGGAUGUUUUCAUUGA